AUUUCCUGCCCCUGGCGCAGGGGUCUGGACUCGAGGAUCUUCCGAGGUCCCUUCCAGCCCUGGUGUCUAUGAAGACGUGGGGCCACGCGAGUGACGGGGUGGGGGGCCCCUUGCCUGGGGAAGGCAGCCGUGCCGGCAAAAGGGACGCCUGGGAAGGACCGGAUUGCUCUUAGCAUCCUUGUGUUCAAAGGACUCCUUUGCAGCUGAGAAGAGUAGAUACCUUCCCCCUCUGUGACCAGCCAAAUUCUUCCUCCUCACUCAGAAGUACAUCUGCAGCCAGGGCACUAGCCUGGGCCCCAGCUUCACAGCUGUCUGGAAGACUCACCUAAAUCUCACUUUACAAUUUCAGCUUUACAACACUUGAUCGGACGCCAGGCCACGCCAGCGAACAAGUUCACUGCAU